rnacentral:SRP_RNA from 1 species
GCUGGGCGCAGUGGCUCACGCCUGUAAUCCCAGCACUUUGGGAGGCUGAGGUGGGCGGAUCACCUGAGGUCAGGAGUUCGAGACCAGCCUGACCAACAUGGUGAAACCCCAUCUCUA